GACUCCUAGGGGAGGCAGCAGUGGGGAAUAUUGGACAAUGGGGGGAACCCUGAUCCAGCCAUGCCGCGUGUGUGAAGAAGGCCUUAUGGUUGUAAAGCACUUUAAGCGAGGAGGAGGCUUACCUGGUUAAUACCUGGAUAAGUGGACGUUACUCGCAGAAUAAGCACCGGCUAACUCUGUGCCAGCAGCCGCGGUAAUACAGAGGGUGCAAGCGUUAAUCGGAUUUACUGGGCGUAAAGCGCGCGUAGGUGGCUAAUUAAGUCAAAUGUGAAAUCCCCGAGCUUAACUUGGGAAUUGCAUUCGAUACUGGUUAGCUAGAGUAUGGGAGAGGAUGGUAGAAUUCCAGGUGUAGCGGUGAAAUGCGUAGAGAUCUGGAGGAAUACCGAUGGCGAAGGCAGCCAUCUGGCCUAAUACUGACACUGAGGUGCGAAAGCAUGGGGAGCAAACAGGAUUAGAUACCCUGGUAGUCCAUGCCGUAAACGAUGUCUACUAGCCGUUGGGGCCCUUGAGGCUUUAGUGGCGCAGCUAACGCGAUAAGUAGACCGCCUGGGGAGUACGGUCGCAAGACUAAAACUCAAAUGAAUUGACGGGGGCCCGCACAAGCGGUGGAGCAUGUGGUUUAAUUCGAUGCAACGCGAAGAACCUUACCUGGCCUUGACAUACAGAGAACUUUCCAGAGAUGGAUUGGUGCCUUCGGGAACUCUGAUACAGGUGCUGCAUGGCUGUCGUCAGCUCGUGUCGUGAGAUGUUGGGUUAAGUCCCGCAACGAGCGCAACCCUUUUCCUUAUUUGCCAGCACUUCGGGUGGGAACUUUAAGGAUACUGCCAGUGACAAACUGGAGGAAGGCGGGGACGACGUCAAGUCAUCAUGGCCCUUACGGCCAGGGCUACACACGUGCUACAAUGGUCGGUACAAAGGGUUGCUACUGCGCGAGCAGAUGCUAAUCUCAAAAAGCCGAUCGUAGUCCGGAUCGCAGUCUGCAACUCGACUGCGUGAAGUCGGAAUCGCUAGUAAUCGCGGAUCAGAAUGCCGCGGUGAAUACGUUCCCGGGCCUUGUACACACCGCCCGUCACACCAUGGGAGUUUGUUGCACCAGAAGUAGGUAGUCUAACCUUAGGGA
rnacentral:rRNA from 1 species